GCGGUUGUAGUUGGCGAAGGGCAGCAGGCCGCCCUUCUUGAGCGCGGCGACGGUCUCGUUCAUCGCGGGGCUGCUGCC
rnacentral:tRNA from 1 species